GUCCUACGGGGGGCAGCAGUGGGGGAUAUUGGACAAUGGGGGAAACCCUGAUCCAGCGAUGCCGCGUGAGGGAAGAAGGUUUUCGGAUUGUAAACCUCUGUGGAGGGGGACGAUAAUGACGGUACCCCUUUAGGAAGCCACGGCUAACUACGUGCCAGCAGCCGCGGUAAUACGGAGGAUGCGAGCGUUAUCCGGAUUUAUUGGGUUUAAAGGGUGCGCAGGCGGUCUGUUAAGUCAGCGGUCAAAGCCCGGGGCUCAACCCCGGCCCGCCGUUGAAACUGGCAGUCUCGAGUUGGAGAGAAGUA
rnacentral:rRNA from 1 species